rnacentral:rRNA from 1 species
UACGUAGGUGACAAGCGUUGUCCGGAUUUACUGGGCGUAAAGAGCGCGCAGGCGGUCGAUCAAGUCGAGUGUGAAAGCCCCCGGCCCAACUGGGGAGGGUCAUUCGAAACUGGUCGACUCGAAGGCAGGAGAGGGUAGUGGAAUUCCCGGUGUAGUGGUGAAAUGCGUAGAUAUCGGGAGGAACACCAGUGGCGAAGGCGACUACCUGGCCUGUUCUUGACGCUGAGGCGCGAAAGCUAGGGGAGCAAACGGG